rnacentral:lncRNA from 1 species
GUCAAAGCAUUAAAAAUGAAAGAUUGAACACAGAGCUUGAGGUGAAGCACAGAGGUACACAAAGGCCACAUUUCAACAAUCAAGGAAGCUCAACAUUCAGCUCAUCCAGUGCAAUGGUAAUGACACAUACACUUACCCCUUUUAUUUUGUGUCUGCUUAAAUAUUUCAUUUCCUCUUUAUUCUUAGGAUGAUCAAGAUUUUAAGGCUUUAGAAUUUUCAGUUUCUCAAACCAAAGAGACUCUCACUACUGCAAAAGGAAAUGGGUAUAACUGUUAUGAGUGUCACAUUACCCAUGAUGAGGAACUGGAGACAGACCUUAAGAAUACCAAGCUGGUUUUGUACCCAAAGGCUCUCAUUGUCUCAUUUCUAAAAGAGUAGGUGUACAGUAGAUAUAUAUAUAUAUAUAUAUAUAUAUAUAUAUAUAUAUAGUACCUGUAAAAAGUGGGUAAACAUAACAAAAGAAAUUAAACAUAAAAAAAAAACUACUGUUGUGUUGCUCCAUCAAAGUGUAAGACAAAAAAUUUUUAGCCAUCUGGAAGAGAGGGUUCAUAUUACUCUAACCAACACUGUGACUGUUGUGGAAGCCAAAAAAGAGAAACUGAAAGCUGAGCUGGAACUUCGCCUGCAGCUCCAUGAACCUCGUGCUGCAAGAAUACAGAUGGACAUUCACAAUGUCAGAGCAGCUGAACUAGUGCUACAUCGAGAACACAUGGAUCGACACUGCAAGGGUAUACUGGGUGUCCUAGAAGACUGCCGAACAGAAGUACAGGAGUUACUGAUCCAGCAAAAUAAUCUGACCGAAGACUUCCUAAGAUUUUACCUUUGCCACUAAUUCUGAAAAGUAAAUAAAUGAAACUGUUUAGUGGUAAUUCUGUGUACAGUUUAUACACAGUCUACUUAUUCUGCCCAUUUUUUUUUCACAGGAUAAAUAAACUUCGUACCUCGCUUCAAACCAACCUGAACAAGCACAUCAGUAUCAUCCAGACUUUACAAAGAGACUUCAGACUGAAGACAGAGUUUACAUUGGAGGGCCUGAGGGAUGCAAAUGUUCAGAUAAUGAGAUCUUUCAAGCCAAAGACAAACUCAGGAAGUUUGAGGAGAAAAGCAGUUUCCUCGCUAUUGAUCUUAUGUUUCUUGAAAAAGUGCAACAAAUUUUUACAAACACGAGGGUCCAGAUCAAAAGCGAGGUAUUUUAAGUAUAUAAUUUACUCAUUUAUUUUCCAUCCCUUUGUCUGCCAUUCAUAA